rnacentral:sRNA from 1 species
CCGCCUGUUGCGGGCAAAUCCAGUGAAUAUGCGCGUCAAUACCGCCUGCGGUGAUAAUAUUUCCCUCACCGGCAAUCACUUCGGUACCCGGACCAAUAAUAAUAUCCACAUCGGGCUGAAUAUCGGGGUUGCCUGCUUUGCCAAUGGCAGCAAUGCGGCCAUCACGCAGGCCAAUAUCGGCCUUUACAAUGCCCCAGUAAUCCAGAAUCAGCGCGUUGGUAAUAACGGUAUCCACAGCCCCUUCGGCGCGCGACGCUUGUGACUGCCCCAUACCGUCGCGG